rnacentral:misc_RNA from 1 species
CAAUCCUGUCACUUGUUCCUAGACGAGGUUCAUGCAAUAUAACCUUGGCACCUGAGAUCUGAUUAAGGAAUACCAGAUGAUAAGCUGAAGUUGACUUUAAAAUAUAUACUGUUAAAAUGGCUUAAGGUGUGAAACAGUUCUGAAUAAAUUAGCCUUAAUUAUUAUUGAAAAGAAGAUUCCGGAAUAAAUUAAAUAAAACAUAUGCACAUCUUGCCAUCAGCAUCAGGAGGACAAAACUUAUUUCUAGUGCUCAAAUAUUUCCCAUAUAGGCUAAUCAGUUGCAGAAUAUUUUAAUUUCAUGUUUCUUGAUGAGACUACUAUAAAUAACAUUAGGAUAAAAAUUCCUAAGGUGUGGUUCAAUUUUGCUUUUUAUAUGACAAUUUUCAAAUAGAAUUGCAAGUCUUCCACUAAUAUUUCUAUUUUUACUUUAUAUAUUUCCAAUUAUAUAUGCGGACCGGACACAUAACGUGCUUAACGGUUUCACUGGGCCUGUUUUUGAAGGAUUUUCAAUUGAUUUCUAGGUACGAGGUUUGUUUGAUAUACAUACAGUUGAAUUGCAGCUGUUCUACACUUGUAGUUGGCCAUGAAGUUAAUAAGUUCUAAUGGCUUUGGAUUUAGAAAGGCUGUCAGAUGGAUUGUAUUAUUGUUUCUCUUCUCGCUUCACAAUAUGGCCAUAAGUAAUGGAAAAAUGAUUUGUAUUUUCUUGACAGUAAAUAUGAUUCAAGUUUUUUCAAAGUUGCAUUUUUCAUUUAUUUUAAAUAUGGAAAUCUUUAUAUAUCAAAAUUGGUAAGGGCUGUGAAUGAUUUUCCUCCCAAGUUAUUACAUUGACCAUGUCUUUGUUUUCUGAUUUAACUGUUAAAAUAGUACACAUAUCCAGUUAUUCAUGCUAUCAAAGAGA